rnacentral:rRNA from 1 species
GAGCCUUGAUGUGUAGGAUAGGUGGGAGGCUUUGAAGUGUGGACGCCAGUCUGCAUGGAGCCGACCUUGAAAUACCACCCUUUAAUGUUUGAUGUUCUAACGUGGGCCCCUUACCGGGGUUGCGGACAGUGUCUGGUGGGUAGUUUGACUGGGGCGGUCUCCUCCUAAAGAGUAACGGAGGAGCACGAAGGUUGGCUAAUCCUGGUCGGACAUCAGGAGGUUAGUGCAAUGGCAUAAGCCAGCUUGACUGCGAGCGUGACGGCGCGAGCAGGUGCGAAAGCAGGUCAUAGUGAUCCGGUGGUUCUGAAUGGAAGGGCCAUCGCUCAACGGAUAAAAGGUACUCCGGGGAUAACAGGCUGAUACCGCCCAAGAGUUCAUAUCGACGGCGGUGUUUGGCACCUCGAUGUCGGCUCAUCACAUCCUGGGGCUGAAGUAGGUCCCAAGGGUAUGGCUGUUCGCCAUUUAAAGUGGUACGCGAGCUGGGUUUAGAACGUCGUGAGACAGUUCGGUCCCUAUCUGCCGUGGGCGCUGGAGAACUGAGGGGGGCUGCUCCUAGUACGAGAGGACCGGAGUGGACGCAUCACUGGUGUUCGGGUUGUCAUGCCAAUGGCACUGCCCGGUAGCUAAAUGCGGAAGAGAUAAGUGCUGAAAGCAUCUAAGCACGAAACUUGCCCCGAGAUGAGUUCUCCCUGACUCCUUGAGAGUCCUGAAGGAACGUUGAAGACGACGACGUUGAUAGGCCGGGUGUGUAAGCGCAGCGAUGCGUUGAGCUAACCGGUACUAAUGAACCGUGAGGCUUAACCUUACAACGCCGAAG